UAGAGGGGAAAAUAAACUGCUGAAGCCUAUUAUUCUACUGAAAACUGCAACAAAUUGGCAAACCUAUAGGUCAGCAAACUAGAGCAAAUUUGAACUAAUGUGAAGACAUUGUCAGCAACUAUGUAAAAAAAUAUCACAUUUUUCAUGUUGAAAAAACAAUUAAAGCUUUAUUACCUCUGGAGACAAAGUUUGACAAAACAUACUGAGUAGCACUCAUGUUCAACUGAAGGGGAAGCUAAUAAAAUAUAAGCUAAUGUCACAGGUACAGUGUGUAUGAUUUAGCUUUUUUAAAUAGUUUAAGCUAGCAACCAACUGAUAACAACUCAGCUCAGUGCAACCUGCCGGAGCUGUGAAUUUACAAAUGUAAGUGUCUUCUUAAGGUAAGUAUUUAUCUGUACUGAGCUACUGUAGAAACAUGGCAUUGCUUCAUGGAAGGGCUGGUUAGCUUAGAUUACCACAACAACAAGGAGGAAGCAGUUAGCCUGGCACUGCUCAGAGUGGGCAUAAGUGCAUCCAGCCAUCCCUCCAUCCCUCUCUUCUUCCAUCCAUCUGAGCAUCACUAAAGCCCAUCUUAAUCUCCCUCUUCCACAAUCACGGAACAAAGAGCAGAGUGCUGGCAGAUCCUUGUUUUUCUAACUAAUGUCGAUUACAUAUUUGAUAAACAUGCAUUUGCAUUAGCAUUAGCCGAGGUCAGGAUUAGCAGCGUUCAUCCUCAAACUGUUCUGUCUAUGCUUCGCCUGUUUGUUGAUCUUUUUUUUUUCUGGUUGUGCCUUUUUCCCCCCCUCCUGUUGUUUGUGGCCAUCUCAAAUCCUAAAGGACACGACUCCACACGAGCGACGGCACAAAUAUUUGAAAGGGUGAUUAAAAAUCGUUUGGGAAAACAGA